UGGGGAAUCUUGCACAAUGGGCGAAAGCCUGAUGCAGCGACGCCGCGUGCGGGACGAAGGCCUUCGGGUCGUAAACCGCUUUCAGCAGGGACGAGGCCGCGAGGUGACGGUACCUGCAGAAGAAGCCCCGGCUAACUACGUGCCAGCAGCCGCGGUAAUACGUAGGGGGCGAGCGUUAUCCGGAUUCAUUGGGCGUAAAGCGCGCGCAGGCGGCCUGCUCGGUCGGGAGUCAAAUCCGGGGGCUCAACCCCCGCCCGCUCCCGAUACCGGCGGGCUUGAGUCUGGUAGGGGAAGGCGGAAUUCCCAGUGUAGCGGUGGAAUGCGCAGAUAUUGGGAAGAACACCGGUGGCGAAGGCGGCCUUCUGGGCCACGACUGACGCUGAGGCGCGAAAGCUAGGGGAGCGAACA
rnacentral:rRNA from 1 species